rnacentral:rRNA from 1 species
GCUUGGCCCUAAACCUCAGUAGUUAUAUAACAAAACUACUCGCCAGAAUACUACAAGCAACAGCUUAAAACUCAAAGGACUUGACGGUGCUUUACAUCCCCCUAGAGGAGCCUGUUCCGUAAUCGAUAAACCCCGAUCCACCCCACCCUCUCUUGCUCAGCCUAUAUACCGCCAUCUUCAGCAAACCCUAAUGAAGGCUACAAAGUGAGCGCAAACGCCACUGCCGCGAAUACGUUAGGUCAAGGUGUAGCCCAUGAGACGGUAAAAAAUGGGCUACAUUUUCUAUUUCAGAAAACCCCACGAAAACCCUUAUGAAACUUAAGGGUCCAAGGAGGAUUUAGCAGUAAAUUAAGAAUAGAGUGCUUAAUUGAACCAGGCCAUAAAGCGCG